rnacentral:rRNA from 1 species
CCUACGGGUGGCAGCAGUGGGGAAUAUUGGACAAUGGGCGAAAGCCUGAUCCAGCCAUGCCGCGUGUGUGAAGAAGGCCUUCGGGUUGUAAAGCACUUUCAGUGGGGAAGAAAGCCUUGGGGCUAAUACCCUCGAGGAAGGACAUCACCCACAGAAGAAGCACCGGCUAACUCCGUGCCAGCAGCCGGGUAAUACGGAGGGUGCGGGCGUUAAUCGGAAUUACUGGGCGUAAAGCGCGCGUAGGCGGUCUGAUAAGCCGGUUGUGAAAGCCCCGGGCUCAACCUGGGAACGGCAUCGGAACUGUCAGGCUAGAGUGCAGGAGAGGAAGGUAGAAUUCCCGGUGUAGCGGUGAAAUGCGUAGAGAUCGGGAGGAAUACCAGUGGCGAAGGCGGCCUUCUGGACUGACACUGACGCUGAGGUGCGAAAGCGUGGGUAGCAAACAGGAUUAGAUACCCGGGUAGU